rnacentral:lncRNA from 1 species
GAGAAGGAGAGAGAGGCAGAGAAAGACGGAGAACGACUGAGAAAGGAGACAAGAUGGAACCUAUAGGAGAGGAUGAUGAGCCAGAACCACGUGGAGCCAUAAUCAUCUGGGAAGAGGAACCUCUAUUGAGAAAAUGCCUCCUUCUGAUUACCUAUAGGCAAGUCUGUGAGACAUUUUCUUGUGGGACAUUUUCUUGAUUAACAGUUGAUGUGGAAGUAGCAAGCCCAUUCGGGACACCCUUGGGCAGGUGGCCCUGGAUAUCAUAAGAAAGCAAGCUGAGCAAUCCAAGGGAGCAAACUUGUUUUCUACUUGAGUUGCUGCCCUGGCUUCCCUUCAUGGUGGACUAUAAGCUGAAAGGUAAAAGAAAUGCUUUCUCCCCUCCUCCCUGCCCCAUGCUCCAGAGUUGCAUUUGGUCAUGGUGGUUUGUACCAAUAAAAAGCAAACUAAUACAGUAAUGAAACACAAUAAAGAAUUCUAAGACU